UGAGGGUGACACUAAUAUUACUGAUCUCAUCGAGUCUCUGGACAGGGAAAAGUUUCUUGGAGUCCCUGGCUGACCCAGUGUCCGCGUGUUUGCUCCAGCUUUUGUUAUCUAUAUUAUUACCCAUUACUUUCUCUGCCACCAGAUCUACAAGGCCGAUUUCAUGAUGCUCGUUUUACACUUAGGGAGCCUGAGGCCCCCCACCCCAUCUUCACAGAGGAGGGCGUCCUCCUCCCCCACCAAAGCUCUGCCCCCCCCCACAACAGGGGACCUCAGCCCAGCCCCUGGUCCCUCUCCCCUUGCUCUUUUUCAGCCUGAAGCUGGAAUGCGACAAGCUGGCCAGCGAGAAGUCGGAGAUGCAGCGUCAUUACGUGAUGUACUACGAGAUGUCCUACGGCUUGAACAUUGAGAUGCACAAGCAGGCUGAAAUCGUCAAGAGGCUGAAUGGGAUUUGUGCCCAGGUCCUACCCUACCUUUCCCAAGAGGUGAGUGGCGCCCCCGGGGCGGCAGGG